CUUCAGUGGCCUCGGAUGGGUUCAGUGGGGGUGGGGCGGAGGGGAGGAAUUUCAAGGUCCUGGGCCGAUAAAUGAGAACACAGGAAUGAAUCGAAACUGGCGUGAGCGCUGGAGGCUUCCCGCUCUGUGAUGGGAGGCAGAUUAAAUCACACAUGGAAAGGACCCAGGUCCGGUUGGACCUUGAAGCACGGCCAGGAGCACCCCAAGCACAGGGAAAGGUCUAGACGGUCCCGCAUUCAGAGAUCCCCCGGGGUGGAAGGCCUCAUCCCUGCGGCCAUUUUCUCAGCACCUGUGCCAGGUGGAACUGUCUCCAGGCUGCCACAGGCUGGUUGAAAACACCAGUCACUUAAGGCGAGAGCCCUGCAUAAUGAUUCUCCAAAGACUGUUUCCCAGAGACACACAUGACAAUCAGGCCAUCUGCAUUCUGUCAGUCAGUGUCCCUCUUUAGCAUCUUCACCUCAGAUGCAGAAAAUGAGUCUGAAAGAGAAGGUCCUUACAGAAGUCCACUAGCCAGGAAGCAGCAGGGCCUGGAUUCAAAUGCAAGCCUGUCUCACCACAGAGAAAGCCCACAUUUUCCCCCCUGACAACCGGCAGCCUGCCUAGUGGUGAGUCAGUGGUGCAAACAAGCACCCAGAGACCUGCCUUUUUUUUUA